UGAUUGCUCUGUUGAUACGGUAGAUCUCAGACCUCCUGACAGACACAGAGCCCCGUUGGAGAUGCUGGUCUCUGAACGAGACAGUUUAGGGAAGUGGCUGUACGCUGCUCUCCAUCGGGGGUGGAAACCCAAAACUACAGCAAAAAUAGGGACACAUCUGCCGCAGCAUGACCACAA